rnacentral:rRNA from 1 species
UUCCGGUUGAUCCUGCCGGACCUGACUGCUAUCGGAUUGAUACUAAGCCAUGCGAGUCAUUGUAGCAAUACAAGGCAUACGGCUCAGUAACGCGUAGUCAACCUAACCUAUGGACGGGAAUAACCUCGGGAAACUGAGAAUAAUGCCCGAUAGAACAUUAUGCCUGGAAUGGUUUAUGUUCCAAAUGAUUUAUCGCCGUAGGAUGGGACUGCGGCCUAUCAGUUUGUUGGUGAGGUAAUGGCCCACCAAGACUAUUACAGGUACGGGCUCUGAGAGGAGUAGCCCGGAGAUGGGUACUGAGACACGGACCCAGGCCCUAUGGGGCGCAGCAGGCGAGAAAACUUUGCAAUGUGCGAAAGCACGACAAGGUUAAUCCGGGUGGUUUCUGCUAAAGGAACCUUUUGUCAGUCCUAGAAACACUGAUGAAUAAGGGGUGGGCAAGUUCUGGUGUCAGCCGCCGCGGUAAAACCAGCACCUCAAGUGGUCAGGAUGAUUAUUGGGCCUAAAGCAUCCGUAGCCCGGCUCUGUAAGUUUUCGGUUAAAUCUGUACGCUCAACGUACAGGCUGCCGGGAAU